CCGGUUCAAUUUGGUGUACGAAUUAUAACCAAAAUAAAUCAGCGGUAAGUAAAUUCAAAACAACCGGCUGAUCUGAUUCUGCAUAAAAAAAAAUACAGGUUUUUAUGAAUCAUGAUUACUUGCGAGAGAGUCGUCUUCUCAUCUGCAAUUCUCGUCUUCUUCAUGUUCACUGGAGUUGGGUAACUUGAUCGGGUCUCUCCUCAAUCCAAAUCUUAAUUCAUCCUCCAGAGUGGUUAUCCAUCAGAGACCACUUGUUUGUCUUCUGCCGUUUCAAGAACCCUAAGACAAACAAUUGGACGAGUUCGGCUUCGAAUCCCAUCGGCAAAUUCCCAGAAGAGUAGCUUUUAUGUGGUGCGCGCUUAAUCUCUGAAUAUGUCUCAGCAGACAAAAUCAACAUGGAGCAUCAAUAAUCUAUCUCAAAGAAAAAAUCACUACUUUGUUGUUGCAGUUCCUUCUCCCAACGCUCUUCAUCCUUGCCUCGUAGAGAAGACCCGAGGAUUUUAAGUGUCAGAGGAAGGAAACCCGAUAUAUGGACAGCGCGAAGGGAUAGUGAUUCAAAACUAGUGGGAGGGUGUUGCUGGUCAAAAGCAGAGUGAGAAAAUAGUUGAAGAGCUUCGUCGUAUCUCAGAGACUGAACUUCAUAAGCAUGCUCCACACCAGACUCAACUAACAGGUUCCUGUCCUGUGUAACAAAGAUCACUCUACUUCCUGGAAUAAACCAGUGAGCAAGGUAUACUAUCUCCUUUAACUGUUUGAUGUUAUCAACGCAAUCAAUCACGAUCAGACCUUUUCGGUGUCCAAAUGUUGAUUUGAUUUUAUCAAUCCCCACAUCUAAACCCUGUGUUGUACCUUUUUCUGUUAACAACUUUAACAGAUCCCGGUCUUGGUGACAAAUCUUUUCAGCCUUGUCUACAAACACAUGAACUUUGAAGUUGCUAGAUAUUUCUUCAUAAGCGUACCUCGCUAGCGUCGUCUUGCCAAUGCCUCCUGGACCCCAAAUUCCUAUCAAACGAACUUCUUCAGCAGCUUUGAAAUCCAGCAAUUUGUAGAGUGUUUGCAUCUGACGAUCCAUACCAACCAGUCCAUCACCUUUGGCUGUUAAUGGCUUUCUAUUCGAGAUACUCAAGAUUUCAUUUGCAAUUAACUCAAUCAUGUCCGCUUCGUUGCUCC